rnacentral:lncRNA from 1 species
AACAAUGUGACUCGGAAUGGGAGCUUUGGGUCACACAGCAUCCCUGGAAGCCGAGACCCAACAACCCACUAUGCCUACAGGGUGGGGCCCCAAGGGAAACCCCAAACACAGAGGUUUGGGGGAGCACCCAGUCAAUGCUCCACACAUGGAUGCUGGGAAAGGAAUGCUGCCCUGACUCUGCGGGGAGAGGACCAGGGAAGAUCCACAUUUGGUACUUUCUUCAUCUCUGCACUGUGUGCCGCUUCCUUCGGUUGAUUUUUAUCUGGGCCCUUUAGCUGUAAUAAACCAUAGAUGUGAGUAUCAAAUUUGAGGGUAUAUUGCAAACUCCCAAACUUGCAACAGGCAUCAGCCCUGAGGGCAGCAUUGAGGAUAGUUCUCUUGAACUUCUCCCCUGACUAAGCUCAAAUAACUUUCUCACGAGGUAGAGAUUAGCAGGUAGAAUAUAUUUCCUCAAUGAAACUCUAAAAUCUAUUCAAUGUAGUUUUCAUUAAGAAUUGGAGUGGGGGACUGAAAAGUCUCUGGCAAGGAUGUGAAACAGAGAUGUCUGCGUGGCUCAUUAAAGACAACCAGCGCAGUGGAGGGAGGGCUGGCCGGCUUCCCUGCAGGCCCACGCCCCACCCAGCCCUGUGCUAGGAAAGGCAGGCAUCGCUAGGGAACAAGGCCCCCAGGGUGCCACCAGGGAUGAUCCCUCUGCACACAUUCCGGACACUCCUCCUUGCUAACAAGGCAUGAAAUUCUCUCUGUCAAGAUGUUUAUCGCAGUAAAUGUUUACUGAGAUCCAAACAUAUUCAUAUGAAUCAGUAAAAAAUAAUUCCUCUGAUUUUUAUUUCCCUUAGCAAGUAAGGCCAGCCAAGUUCAGCGUAACAGGAGUUUUAUGAGAAGGACCAAGGUAACCUCAAAGCCAAGAGUGACUUCAGGGGGAACACAAGUCUGACGGGAAGGCCAAGUACAGCAGGGAGACUAAGGAGGCGAGAGGGACAGGCGGCAGAGGCAGAGGCCAAAGAUGAGGCCCAUCGGCUCAGUUUUUUGGAAGGCAGGCCCAGACAUGAAAAAAGGAUGCCAGUGCUCUCUCUUCUCCUUCCACACAUCCCGGCUGUGACUCUCAGGCUAACACAACUGCCACACUGUUCACACAGGUUUGCAUGGAUACCCUGUGAAUGCAGCUACUGUUUACCCAUGUACAGCAGGGCCCCUAAGAAAACAUUUGUUGUGAAUCUCCAGUCCUUUCCCUCAGAGCAACCCCAGAAGUCCACUUCCUUAAUGGCCAGGCCCCUGCAGCCACCUCUGGACACCCAGGACAUCCUGGAGACCAGUGCUCAGAAUGACAAGCACGGUCUCCUCAGCCGACCAGACAAGCUUCCACAUACGCAGGAGAAACAUCUUUCAUCAUUCCAUCCAGCUAAAGUUGCAAGUUAUUACUGCUGCACGGUUAUGACUGCGAGAAAACAGAAAGAAAAUCUGGAAUAACAAAGACAUGGUUUAAGCACCAACCUAUCACUUACAAGCUCUAAGAGAUUUAAACACCAACUCAUCACUUAAAAGCUCUGUUAGAUAAUCUCUCAGAGCCUCAAUUUUCUUAUUUGCAAUAGGGACCGUAUAUACCUUUUAGGAUAGUCUGGAGGAUUAAAUAAAGUAACUUACUCAUGGCCAAACAUACCAUUCUCCCCAAUACACCCAGGCAUUUAUUCAACACCUAGUACAUGUAAGAAAAAAAUUAAAAAAAAAAAAAAAA